rnacentral:lncRNA from 1 species
GGCCUUGGCAAAUAACUCCGUUCGUAAAGCUCCUGUCGUGCAAUUGGGUUUUUUGUUACUGUUACUUCUUUGCUGCAGAUUAAAGCGCUAUUCUCUGAUAAAGAGAGGAUCUGCUAUAUAUAGUCAUUCGGGCAGUUGGUGGCCCCUCCUAGAGUUGCGGGUCCUUACGGAUGCAUUAGUGUUAGCUCGCGCUCAAAACUCAUCCGACAUGAAUAACAUAAACUAUCUACAUGAAUUAAAUAAACUAUCUUAUUGUGCUUUUUGCUUUCUUUCUAUCUAGCAACCCUAAGAAGUGAAAGCUUUAAUUUUACCGAGUCCGCAGCUGAAAGGGUUUUU